rnacentral:rRNA from 1 species
ACGCUGGCGGCACGCCUUAUACAUGCAAGUCGAACGAAGUAGCAAUACUUAGUGGCAGACGGGUGAGUAACAUGUGGGUAUCUUCCCUUUGGCCUGGAAUAACACGAGGAAACUUGUGCUAAUACCGGAUAAGUCUUUACAGAGAAAGCUUUAUGCACCAUUGGAUGAGCCCGCACUUGAUUAGUUUGUUGGUGGGGUAAUGGCCUACCAAGACAAUGAUCAAUAGCUGAUUUGAGAGGAUGAUCAGCCACAUUGGAACUGAGACACGGUCCAAACUCCUACGGGAGGCAGCAGUAGGGAAUCUUGCACAAUGGAGGAAACUCUGAUGCAGCGAUGCCGCGUGAGUGAAGAAGGCCCUUGGGUUGUAAAGCUCUUUCGUCGGGGAAGAAAAUGACUGUACCCGAAUAAGAAGGUCCGGCUAACUUCGUGCCAGCAGCCGCGGUAAUACGAAGGGACCUAGCGUAGUUCGGAAUUACUGGGCUUAAAGAGUUCGUAGGUUGUUAAAAAAGUUGGUGGUGAAAUCCCAGAGCUUAACUCUGGAACUGCCAUCAAAACUUUUUAGCUAGAGUAUGAUAGAGGAAAGCAGAAUUUCUAGUGUAGAGGUGAAAUUCGUAGAUAUUAGAAAGAAUACCAAUUGCGAAGGCAGCUUUCUGGAUCAUUACUGACACUGAGGAACGAAAGCAUGGGUAGCGAAGAGGAUUAGAUACCCUCGUAGUCCAUGCUGUAAACGAUGUGUGUUAGACGUUGGAAAUUUAUUUUCAGUGUCGCAGCGAAAGCAAUAAACACACCGCCUGGGGAGUACG